GAUGAACGCUGGCGGCGUGCCUAAUACAUGCAAGUCGAGCGAACGGACGAGAAGCUUGCUUCUCUGAUGUUAGCGGCGGACGGGUGAGUAACACGUGGAUAACCUACCUAUAAGACUGGGAUAACUUCGGGAAACCGGAGCUAAUACCGGAUAAUAUUUUGAACCGCAUGGUUCAAAAGUGAAAGACGGUCUUGCUGUCACUUAUAGAUGGAUCCGCGCUGCAUUAGCUAGUUGGUAAGGUAACGGCUUACCAAGGCAACGAUGCAUAGCCGACCUGAGAGGGUGAUCGGCCACACUGGAACUGAGACACGGUCCAGACUCCUACGGGAGGCAGCAGUAGGGAAUCUUCCGCAAUGGGCGAAAGCCUGACGGAGCAACGCCGCGUGAGUGAUGAAGGUCUUCGGAUCGUAAAACUCUGUUAUUAGGGAAGAACAUAUGUGUAAGUAACUGUGCACAUCUUGACGGUACCUAAUCAGAAAGCCACGGCUAACUACGUGCCAGCAGCCGCGGUAAUACGUAGGUGGCAAGCGUUAUCCGGAAUUAUUGGGCGUAAAGCGCGCGUAGGCGGUUUUUUAAGUCUGAUGUGAAAGCCCACGGCUCAACCGUGGAGGGUCAUUGGAAACUGGAAAACUUGAGUGCAGAAGAGGAAAGUGGAAUUCCAUGUGUAGCGGUGAAAUGCGCAGAGAUAUGGAGGAACACCAGUGGCGAAGGCGACUUUCUGGUCUGUAACUGACGCUGAUGUGCGAAAGCGUGGGGAUCAAACAGGAUUAGAUACCCUGGUAGUCCACGCCGUAAACGAUGAGUGCUAAGUGUUAGGGGGUUUCCGCCCCUUAGUGCUGCAGCUAACGCAUUAAGCACUCCGCCUGGGGAGUACGACCGCAAGGUUGAAACUCAAAGGAAUUGACGGGGACCCGCACAAGCGGUGGAGCAUGUGGUUUAAUUCGAAGCAACGCGAAGAACCUUACCAAAUCUUGACAUCCUUUGACAACUCUAGAGAUAGAGCCUUCCCCUUCGGGGGACAAAGUGACAGGUGGUGCAUGGUUGUCGUCAGCUCGUGUCGUGAGAUGUUGGGUUAAGUCCCGCAACGAGCGCAACCCUUAAGCUUAGUUGCCAUCAUUAAGUUGGGCACUCUAAGUUGACUGCCGGUGACAAACCGGGGGAAGGUGGGGAUGACGUCAAAUCAUCAUGCCCCUUAUGAUUUGGGCUACACACGUGCUACAAUGGACAAUACAAAGGGCAGCGAAACCGCGAGGUCAAGCAAAUCCCAUAAAGUUGUUCUCAGUUCGGAUUGUAGUCUGCAACUCGACUACAUGAAGCUGGAAUCGCUAGUAAUCGUAGAUCAGCAUGCUACGGUGAAUACGUUCCCGGGUCU
rnacentral:rRNA from 1 species